UAGUAUGGGUUGCACCUCAAUCGCUUGGUUGCGUCAUUGUCAUUGUUAUCACCGUUUCACAAACACCACAGCCACAUUGGUGUCCAGAACUAGAACGGGAGCUAAUAACUUAAAACAGGAGCUAAUGAUGGUUUCACCAAGUGAUGUAGUCGAGUCACCAUUUGUUUUGUCAAAAUCGAGUCCCAAGUCCCCACGGCUGAAGUUCCGAGUCCCGGUGCUCCAGUCCUGGUCCAGGUGCUCAAGUCUGACACACUGGGUCCACAUAAACUCAAAAUAAAGUUAUUUACCCAGUCAGAUAUAAAGGAGAUAUUUACCCACUCAGAUAUAUAGAGGUGUUAUUUACCCAGUCAGGUAUAGAGGAGUUAUUUACCCAGUCAGAUAUAGUUAUUUACCCAGUCAGAUAUAGAGGAGUUAUUUACCCAGUCAGAUAUAGAGGAGUUAUUUACCCAGUCAGAUAUAGUGGAGUUAUUUACCCAGUCAGAUAUAGAGGAGUUAUUUACCCAGUCAGAUAUAGAGGAGUUAUUUACCCAGUCAGAUAUAGAGGAGUUAUUUACCCAGUCAGAUAUAGAGUUAUUUACCCAGUCAGAUAUAGAGUUAUUUACCCAGUCAGAUAUAGAGGAGUUAUUUACCCAGUCAGAUAUAGAGGAGUUAUUUAUCCAGUCAGAUAUAGAGGAGUUAUUUACCCAGUCAGAUAUAGAGGAGUUAUUUACCCAGUCAGAUAUAGAGGAGUUAUUUACCCAGUCAGAUAUAGAGGAGUUAUUUACCCAGUCAGAUAUAGAGGAGUUAUUUACCCAGUCAGAUAUAGAGGAGUUAUUUACCCAGUCAGAUAUAGAGUUAUUUACCCAGUCAGAUAUAGAGGAGUUAUUUACCCAGUCAGAUAUAGAGGAGUUAUUUACCCAGUCAGAUAUAGAGGAGUUAUUUAUCCAGUCAGAUAUAGAGGAGUUAUUUACCCAGUCAGAUAUAGAGGAGUUAUUUACCCGGUCAGAUAUAGAGGAGUUAUUUACCCAGUCAGAUAUAGAGGAGUUAUUUACCCAGUCAGAUAUAGAGGAGUUAUUUACCCAGUCAGAUAUAGUUAUUUACCCAGUCAGAUAUAGAGGUGUUAUUUACCCAGUCUGAUAUAGAGGAGUUAUUUACCCAGUCAGAUAUAGAGGAGUUAUUUACCCAGUCAGAUAUAGAGGAGUUAUUUACCCAGUCAGAUAUAUAGAGGAGUACAUAGCGACAAGACAUAGUGUAGUGACAAGAGGAAUUUAGUUAAUAAAUAGUUUGCUUUUCCUUUCUUUCUGUGCCACCAAAUGUUUGCAUAUAGACUGCUGGUAAUGUUACCUU